rnacentral:sRNA from 1 species
UUCAUUUUCCUUCUCUCUC